rnacentral:rRNA from 1 species
UACAGAGGGUGCGAGCGUUGUCCGGAAUCACUGGGCGUAAAGGGCGCGUAGGUGGCGACCCAAGUCGAUGGUGAAAGCUCGCCGCUCAACGGCGAGUCGGCCACCGAUACUGGGUUGCUGGAGCACUGUAGAGGCUCAUGGAAUUCCGGGUGUAGCGGUGGAAUGCGUCAGAGAUCCGGAAGAACGACCGGUGGCGAAGGCGGUGAGCUGGGCAGUUGCUGACACUGAGGCGCGGACAGCGUGGGGAGCAAACAGG